GAUGAGAGMAGGUAGAGCAGCUACCAGAGAUUUCAGAUAAUGAGCCAAAUCCUGAUAAUCCACAAUUCUAGUUUUGCCAAUCUUAUAAUUAACUUUGUUAUCUCCUUGCAAUGGGUGGUGUGCAAUGCCCUGGAUGGAUAGCUUAACUGAUAAACCUGGAUGACAGAUUUUCAAGUGGCUCUCACCCAUCGGUAGUAGGAUUUUGUCUUAUUGAUCAAACACAAAUUUCUUUCAGGCUAUUCCAGGAGAUUUGGAGACAAGUGCUGAAACUGCUCCAUCCCAGUCCAGCCCCAGUGCCUUUGACUGUGUCCUUCUGCUGACUGAGGAUGGUGCUGAAGACUUUAAUACUGAACUCUUGCUUUUUAAUGAACAGUCAGCCCCAAAUUACCUGGUAUCUUCUCUUCAAUAUAUCCCGUUCUACAGGACGUCUGAAGUCUUCAUCAGCCCUCACUCCCUCAUUGCAUCGCACAUCAGCACAGAUGCAGAAGAAAGCUCUGAUGGUCACCAAGUUAACACUAAGCAAGAUGAGAACUUGGAUGUCUCAGCUCUCUCCACAGGAUAUUUUCCAUAUUACAGGUCAUAUGAAGAGCCCCUUGGCAAGCCACUUGCAUAUAACUUAAAUGUGACUGCAGAGGGAAAACAGCCUGGCACCAGCAGGAAAGACAGACGGCAAGGCGGAUGUGCCYGGGCUGUUUGCAACGUUGAGAAAACCAUUCCACCAAGUUKGGAGCCAGACAAAAGGGCAGUUUCCUCCAGCGCUGAGCCACCUGCCCACCCGCUGUUACUGGAGAGCAUCUCCGAAAACUGCGCUUCGAAGACCCCAUUCCUCAGUGAACUGCCAAGCCUGGGUCAGCMCUUCUCUUCCUCUGGGUACUUUCCUUAUUACAGGACACGUGGAGACCUCUGCAUCAGCCCAGCUCCUUGUGAUAGGUUCUUCACCAGGAUAGAAAUUUUGGGGGAUGAAGAAGGAGGAGGAGAAGGAGAAACAAAUGUUUGGAAUUUGAGUGCCAGCUGCUCAGCGUGCUGAGAACGAGGCAGAAAGUUUGUCAGAGAAGGACAGGUUGAUUCUACACAGGAGUGAACAAGAAGGUCUUGAAAACUACAGCAAUGACAUGGAAAUCUGCAUGAAUAUGGAAUAAAAAUACUUCCCCCCUCA
rnacentral:lncRNA from 1 species